rnacentral:rRNA from 1 species
GACGAACCGAGCGAACGUUAUUCGGAAUCACUGGGCUUAAAGGGCGCGUAGGCGGGCCGUCAAGUCGAGGGUGAAAUCCCCCAGCUCAACUGGGGAAGUGCCUCCGAUACUGGCGGUCUCGAGGGGGAUAGGGGCAUGCGGAACUUCCGGUGGAGCGGUGAAAUGCGUAGAUAUCGGAAGGAACACCGGUGGCGAAAGCGGCGUGCUGGGUCCCUUCUGACGCUGAGGCGCGAAAGCCAGGGGAGCGAACGGG